ACGUGUGGUCUUCUGAUUCGCUGAAACCUGGCCUCCUCCAGACCAGCGAGGGUUGGUAUGACCAACCAUGACCAGCGCAGGUUGGCAUGACAAAUAGCCCCCACGAUUCCCGUGGAACUGUACCCAGAGUCAUGGGUAACCUGAGUCAGGAGACAGUGUAAUUUUCUCAACUAAAAUUUGUUUAAAAGGCUUAAGGUAUCCAUAUACCUCAAGGGAUAUGGGAAAAGUUCCAGUACAACAAAAGACCUUGAACUGUGGCUGACCACAGGCUGUGUAAAGUCAUGGGUACUCACAUUGGGCUAAAAUUUAGAUUUGAUUGACAGUUCCCAUUCUCAACCACAUAAGGGACUUAACGUGUUGAUUGUUUACUGACCACAAAUCCUUCCAUAAAGUAUAAUGGCUCCUUUGCAAUGUGGCCUUGAAUCUGGAUUGGUCUUCAGCCCAGAUUGGUCACUUGCUGUAACUAAUAGAGUAUGACAGAAGCCCACUGUGGGGGUUUGGAAGCCCCCACCCUUAUGGACAUGACCCUGAGACUCCAGGGAAGGAAACUGAAUGAGAGGCCACAUGUAGGGGAUGGAGGUGCUGCGGGGCAUGGAGAGAAACCAUCUGCACUGACCAGCUCAGUAGACCCCUUAGCUGUUUGUAGCCACAAGAAGGAGCCUAGGGGAACCAGCCCAGGCACCCCAUGGAAACCUGAUCAAUAAUAAACUACUGUUAUUUUAAGCCAGCAAGAUCAUGGCUCAUUUGUUACACAGCAGUAAUAGACAUUCUUGGCAAGUAACUGAACCCAAUAGGUUUUGGCUUUUUGAUAGAUGGAAUAAUACUUAAUGGUUGUGAAAUAUCCCAUAUCAAAAUGAUCGUGUUUAAAGGGCUGGUAACCCAGUGACAGGAACAUAGACAUUAAGUAUAAAGGACAGCAAAUGAGCAAAUGAGAGCUGCAUAUUUUAAAAGUCUGUAACAUGAAAUAAGCCAGACACAAAAGGACAAACGCUGUGAGAUUCCACUUACAUGAUGUAGCUAGAGUAAUCAAAUUCACAGAGAGAGAAAUUCAGAUGGUAGUUGCGAGGGGCUGGGGAGGAGGAGUGGGGAGUAUUUAAUGGAUAUGCUGUUACAGUUUGGGAUGAUGAAAAGAUGGACAGUGGUGAUGGUUGCACAAUGAUUUGAAGGUACUUAAUGCCACAGAACUGUACACUAAAAAUGAUUAACAUGGUAUAUUUUUUCUGUAUAUUUUACCACACGUGCAAAAAAAAAAAAAUCUGUAACACACUACAUUUAGUAAUGUCCCAUCUACCUAACACUGGUGAAUGAGAUUCUGCAUACAAUGCAGAUUUCUGAUUAUCCGUCCAUGAUUCAGAAUUUUACAGUUUUUUAAAAAUCUCUUUCAUGAUUUCCACUGAGGAUAGGUGCUUCAUAAGCUCUUAUGACUCUUCACUGUCUGGAUGAAGAAAGCAUACAAAUUAUAUCCUGAUUUGGAAAAUGAAGUGUCUCCAUCCAGUUCCCUUGAGUUCCCCUCCCCUUCUCUCUCUGGGACCCCUUCUCCAUCAUUCAUAUCCUGCUGUCUCUGGUCUCCAAACCUCUCUGCCUUCUCUGAUUCUUUGCAUUUAGGGUUCUCAGGUCUCAAGUUUCUUAGGUCUCCUGUAUCCCAAAGCAAAACCUACCAAAAAUCUCUCCUUCCCUCAACAGUUGGACUUUGCAAGAACAGUCUAAACUACCUCCUUCUCACCCAGACUGCCUGGCAGAUGUCCCCCCAACUCUGCACACGCCACUCUCCUCUUUGGCCACCAUCCAGGAUCAGCACCAGCUGGGUUGAUCCAUAACCCAUGUUUCCUUCCAAAACACCUGCUCUGGCCUGUAUGUGGUCUAUCCAUACAAUGGAAUUUAUUCUGCUUUAAAAAGGAAUGAAGUUCUGAUACAUGUUACAGGGUGGAUGAACCUUGAAGACGGUACAUUCAGUGAAGGAUGCCUGACACAAAAGACAGCAUGUUGUCUGAUUCCACUUAUGUAAGAUGUCCAGUACAGGCACAUCCAUAGAGACAGAAAGUAGAUUAGUGUACUAACUACUGUAUAUAAACAGAUACACAACAA